UGUAUGAACCAGUAAAAUAGCAGUUCAUUUGCCAGAUUUGCAAUAUUUGUUUGGAUUGAAAUAAUCAGGAGAAAUUCAAUCCAACUCAUAUUUUGAACGUAUAUAACCAGAAUUUGUAACAAAUUGCACCACCAACGUAAAUAUUUAAGCGAUACCUAUAUUCCAACCCCGAAAAAUUACGGAAGUAAAAUGUUUGUUUAUUUUGAUGCAGACGAACACGGUCUCACGCAGCCCGUGUCGUAAUCGGGACUUUGGUUUUAAUGAUUUUAUUUAGAGGAAAUCAGAAUAUGCUUCGGAUGCAGAAGCUACACUUUUCUAUGUUACCAUCACUCUACUAACCCAGUGAUUUGUCUUCAUGCAUGGAUGCAAACAGACUAAUGAAAUUCAAAACCAAGAGAGAUUUUCCCAAAUUUAUUUGAUCUCCUGCUCUUCUCUUCUGAGGCAUGACUGUGAGCCUUUCAACAGCAGUGUCAAAAUUGGGCAUGGCAGCAACAAUG